UACGGGGGGGGCAAGCGUUGUUCGGAAUUACUGGGCGUAAAGGGCUCGUAGGCGGCUUGGUCAGUCCCGUGUGAAAUCCCUCGGCUCAACUGAGGAACUGCACGGGAAACUGCCUGGCUUGAGUUCGGGAGAGGGAAGCGGAAUUCCGGGUGUAGCGGUGAAAUGCGUAGAUAUCCGGAGGAACACCGGUGGCGAAGGCGGCUUCCUGGACCGACACUGACGCUGAGGCGCGAAAGCUAGGGGAGCAAACGGG
rnacentral:rRNA from 1 species